ACCUGGGAGAAGCCAACCACAUGCUGAAAUACAUGAUAAAGGAGCUCUUAAUAAGGUGCCAUAUGAUUUGCAUAGAGAGAAUCACAUUGUUACAGGCCUUGCCCUCUGGGAUCCUUCAACCUAGAAGCCUCUUUGUCUAUAUCCUGCUCUCAGAGCCCUAUCUCCUUCCAUGGACAGACUCCACGGAGAUACAGCACCACUACCUGAGGAAACCUGGAGAAAGUCGAAGAUAUGGUCCCUGGCAUUUAAAUGCUUAGUUUCUAUUGGGGAGACAAGACCACACAGGCAAGACUUCCAAGGAUGGAGCAAAGGACCUGGCUCAGCAGCGGGCUCUGUGCAGAGGGGAACCAUGUGAGCAUGACUCCUGUGGGGAGGUGGCUACUGAGAAUGCAGGGUGUGUUCCAGGAACCAGUGUUGCACAGGAAAAGGGGGAGAGUGGCAAAGCCCCUGAUACCUCCCAGCCACCUUCUAUCAUGGGAGGAGCACAGAACUGAACUGCUUGCGCUUCCCCAAAAUCCCCCGCUAAGAUACUUAUACCUGGCUCUGGCACUCGCCUUUCCUGGGUGUGUUCUUCCCUCCCUCCACUCCCCAAUUCCAGGUCCAUGAGUGAGGGCUAGGGCCUGUCUUUGGGGAGCAGAUCCCAACGGGCCAGCCCCACCUCUCCCCCUCGGCAGGCUGCCACACUCCCUGCCUGUUGGGGCCCAUCCCAGUCUUUGCCCAGGGGCUUGGGAGCCUGUGCAGCAGCUGCAGCAACUGAUGGGCCCAGGCCUGUCCUGCUCCCACCCUCUGGCAGCUGGGCAAGGCUGAAGCCAAGGAAGAGGGCCCCUACUAGGGGCAGGAAAAGGAGGGUACAGUCAAGCUGGGGCUGGGGGACACAAGGGGUAUGUUGGGGUUCUGUCAAAGGAGGCAACCUGACCCCCAGGGAGAAGGAUCCUCCAUCUCUGAAUUCAAAAUGUGGCUUCCUCAUGGAAGUGAAGAUAUGCCCUAGAUUGCCAUGCCAGGGGGUCCUGUCAGAGCCAUUCUUUGGGAAGCCUUGGACAUUAUGGGAAGACAAAACGAAGCUGCUGAGGCAAUUCAGGUUCCCCUCCUCUAACCCAGCAUAUCUACACCUAGGUUCUUCCUGCCAUUUUAUUGCACUUUUUGAGUUCCUUUCUUCCUUUUGGCUCUAAUGGUUCAGCCAAAAAUACUUCUUUACUAGCCACCUCUCCUGGGCCUCAAAACGGCUAAAUGGGGCCCAACAUUCAGUCUUCCCUGAUCAAAGUGGUUUAGCAUCUUCUCCUCUGGACUUUCUUCUCAGGGUGGAUUUGGAGGUGGGGAAGAGAAUGGGGGUGGAGGUUGGGGGUAGAACUAUGCAGCGCCCUUGUAGCCUGUAGCUCUGCUACCUCUGAACCUCCUACCCAACCAUCCCUUCUGGCCGUGUUCCUCUCCCUAUUCACUUUUCUAGCCACAGAGUUCUACAGCAUGGGGUCCAGGAGUGGGGGCAUGGGUGGUGAGAAGAGACGCUUGGAAAAGUGAAAGAGGCCCACAGCCCUUAGGGGGUAAGCCUGCCACUUUUUCUAAUCACAAUCAGAUUAGAAGUUUUUUUUGUGUGUAGUACUGCCUGUGAAUUUUGGCUAAAAGAUCUUUCAAGACCCUAAUGUUCUUCAUAGCUAAGACAUAUACUCAAUCAACACUUCAUGAACAGAGUAGGGGAGGGAGACAGCGACCUGGUUUUCUUAACAGUAGCAGGAAGUAAAGCGCUACUUCCAGCCUGAAUUCUGAGAGGUUAUGGCCAGAAUUCGAGGCCAGGUUAUUUCUGGCAGUA